UCACAUGCCUCACUGGCUGAUGGCAUCAGGCAAGGCCCAAGAGGACUCUCAGGGAAGGAGGCACUUUGCUGACCUGGCCUGGGCUGGCUCUUCUCUUUCCAGAAUGUGAUGUUCUGGAAAACCUGUUCAAGUUUUCUUCAUGCUGUGUCUGUGUCACUUUCUUGGUGAAACAAGAACUUACCACCAGCGAUCUUCACAGAACGUAAAACUCCAGCCCUGACUUUGUUACUGCUUUCUCUCUGAGCUUUAAUUCUGAAUCUUUGGUGGGAGUCGCCUGUUCUCUGUGACCGUCUGCGUUACAAAACCGCUAUUAGGCCACUGUUGGAAACUGGUGCUGGAAAAGGAGGCCUGAAACAUGGGCCUUAUUCUUUCAAGGAAUUUAAGCUCCUGGAAUUCAUCUGGACGUUCACUGCAGAUUAAGUCACGGGGAGGCUGAACUGGAACAAACAGAAAGUAAGAUGGAAACUGGGAUUUUUUGUUGGCCUCCAGAGACCAAACCGGUUCAGGGCAUUAGCUAGCUCAGAGAUUUGGGGUUGAAGCAGGAGACCACCCGGAAAACUGCAGAGUCUGGCAGGAUCCCAGGGAUUACAGGCAAUGAUUAAUGAAACCUGCCUGGCAGAGCUGGCACAGUUCGGAGCAGGGUGUGGGCAUCGGACGUGAUACAACAUGAUGUGGAAGCAGCAGAUGUUGACAUGAUCAGAUGCUGUCCCUAUGAUCCUACUGCCUGUGCCGUGUAUCCCCCCAGCCCCAGGUUAGUGCUCCCGUGCCACCUCCCGCUGCCUGGGAGGGCUGCAUUGCACCAUCCUCCAGCAGCUCUGUGCACUUGUGCCCUCCUCCUCUUCCCACAGCCUGAUUUAUUGGCUUUAUCUUUCCCUUUUACAGCCGCCCUUUGCUGCACCUGAUUGCAGUGACCUCCGGUCCCCGCAUAGCUCGCAUUCCUCAGGGGAGGGCUGCAGGCUAUGGAAGGGCUUUCUCCUUCCCAGAACCCCUCCAGAAGAGAUCAGUGUGUCCCUCAGCCACAUUAGUUGACACUGCAACCUAGCCCUACACUGUCUGUAACCUGCUGAUGGUGGCUCUGAUCAUGAUCAUGGCCUGCCAUAGAAACACG
rnacentral:lncRNA from 1 species